rfam:Ovis aries breed Texel chromosome 6, whole genome shotgun sequence.
UCCCUGAUAGCUCAGUUCGUAAAGAAUCUGCCUGCAAUGCAGGAGACCUGGGUUCCAUUCCUGGGUUGGGAA